rnacentral:rRNA from 1 species
AGGGUUUGAUCCUGGCUCAGAGCGAACGCUGGCGGCAGGCCUAACACAUGCAAGUCGAACGGACCCUUCGGGGUUAGUGGCGGACGGGUGAGUAACACGUGGGAACGUGCCCUUUGGUUCGGAACAACACAGGGAAACUUGUGCUAAUACCGGAUAAGCCCUUCGGGGGAAAGAUUUAUUGCCAUUGGAGCGGCCCGCGUUGGAUUAGGUAGUUGGUGAGGUAAUGGCCUACCAAGACUGUGAUCAAUAGCUGAUUUGAGAGGAUGAUCAGCCACAUUGGGACUGAGACACGGCCCAAACUCCUACGGGAGGCAGCAGUGGGGAAUCUUGCACAAUGGAGGAAACUCUGAUGCAGCGAUGCCGCGUGAGUGAAGAAGGCCCUUGGGUUGUAAAGCUCUUUCGUCGGGGAAGAAAAUGACUGUACCCGAAUAAGAAGGUCCGGCUAACUUCGUGCCAGCAGCCGCGGUAAUACGAAGGGACCUAGCGUAGUUCGGAAUUACUGGGCUUAAAGAGUUCGUAGGUGGUUGAAAAAGUUGGUGGUGAAAUCCCAGAGCUUAACUCUGGAACUGCCAUCAAAACUUUUCAGCUAGAGUAUGAUAGAGGAAAGCAGAAUUUCUAGUGUAGAGGUGAAAUUCGUAGAUAUUAGAAAGAAUACCAAUUGCGAAGGCAGCUUUCUGGAUCAUUACUGACACUGAGGAACGAAAGCAUGGGUAGCGAAGAGGAUUAGAUACCCUCGUAGUCCAUGCCGUAAACGAUGUGUGUUAGACGUUGGAAAUUUAUUUUCAGUGUCGCAGCGAAAGCGAUAAACACACCGCCUGGGGAGUACGACCGCAAGGUUAAAACUCAAAUGAAUUGACGGGGACCCGCACAAGUAGUGGAGCAUGUGGUUUAAUUCGAAGAUACGCGCAGAACCUUACCAACACUUGACAUGUUCGUCGCGACUCUAAGAGAUUAGAGUUUUCGGUUCGGCCGGACGAAACACAGGUGCUGCAUGGCUGUCGUCAGCUCGUGUCGUGAGAUGUUGGGUUAAGUCCCGCAACGAGCGCAACCCUCACUUUUAGUUGCCAUCAUUAAGUUGGGCACUCUGAAAGAACUGCCAGUGAUAAGCUGGAGGAAGGUGGGGAUGACGUCAAGUCCUCAUGGCCCUUACGUGUUGGGCUACACACGUGCUACAAUGGUAUCUACAACAGGAAGCAAGACUGCGAAGUUAAGCAAAUCCCUAAAAGAUACCUCAGUUCGGAUUGCACUCUGCAACUCGAGUGCAUGAAGCUGGAAUUACUAGUAAUCGUGGAUCAGCGUGCCACGGUGAAUGCGUUCCCGGGUCUUGUACACACCGCCCGUCACACCAUGGGAGUUAGAUUUACCUUAAGGCAAGGUUUCAAACCCUUGACCACGGUAUAGUCAGCGACUGGGGUGAAGUCAUAACAAGGUAGCCG